AGGUUACUCAACAAUUGAUCUGCUCAAAGA
rnacentral:piRNA from 1 species